rnacentral:rRNA from 1 species
CCAAGAGAUGAGUUCUCCCAAUCUAAGAGAUUGUAAGGGUUGUUGUAGACUACGACGUAGAUAGGUCUGGUGUGUAAGUGUAGUGAUAUAUUGAGCUAACAGAUACUAAUUGCCCGAGAGGCUUAACUAUACAACGCUCAAG